rnacentral:rRNA from 1 species
GAUGAACGCUGGCGGCGUGCCUAAUACAUGCAAGUCGAGCGAACGGACGAGAAGCUUGCUUUUCUGAUGUUAGCGGCGGACGGGUGAGUAACACGUGGAUAACCUACCUAUAAGACUGGGAUAACUUCGGGAAACCGGAGCUAAUACCGGAUAAUAUUUUGAACCGCAUGGUUCAAAAGUGAAAGACGGUCUUGCUGUCACUUAUAGAUGGAUCCGCGCUGCAUUAGCUAGUUGGUAAGGUAACGGCUUACCAAGGCAACGAUGCAUAGCCGACCUGAGGGGGGGAUCGGCCAAACUGGAACGGAGACACGGGCCAGAACCAUAGGGGAGGGAGGAGUAGGGAAACUUCCGCAAGGGGGGAAAGCCGGAGGGAGAAACGCCGGGGGGGGGAGGAAGGUCUUGGGAACGUAAAAAUUUUUUAUUAGGAAAAAAAAAAGGUGAAAGUAAAUGGCAAAAUUUUGACGGUACUAAAACAAAAAGCCACGGCUAAAUACGG